GAUGAAGAACGUAGCGAAAUGCGAUACUUGGUGUGAAUUGCAGAAUCCCGUGAACCAUCGAGUCUUUGAACGCAAGUUGCGCCUCAAGCCAUUAGGUUGAGGGCACAUCUGCCUGGGCGUCACAUAUCGUUGCCUGAUGCCAGUUUCCUCGUGAUGGGUGACUGUGCAGGGCGAAUGAUGGCUUCCCGUGAGCAUUGUUGCCUCAUGGUUGGUUGAAAAUUGAGUCCUUGGUAGGGAGCGCCGUGAUAGAUGGUGGUUGAGUGACGAACGAGACCCAAUCAUGUGAGACCCCUACCGAAUUUGGCCUUCAUGACCCACAUGCGUCUUUGGAACGCUCAUGACGAGACCUCAGGUCAGGCGGGGCUACCCGCUGAGUUUAAGCAUAUCAAUAAGCGGAGGA
rnacentral:misc_RNA from 1 species